rnacentral:misc_RNA from 1 species
UUGAAUUUAAACUGGGUGAGGUUGCUGCUGGCUCCUUUGCGGGGCAUGUGCACACCUCACUCAUCCAACCUUCACACCCCUGUGCACUCUUCAUAGAAUGGAUCCUGCGGUUCCUCUUCUGAGGAAUUUGCAGACCACUCUGUGUUAAUUUUACAAACUCUGAAACAGUCUUGAAUGUCAUCUUGCGCAUAAUACGCAUUUAAAUA